UGUCGAGUUCAUCUCAAAGAGAAACUGCGAACGGCUCAUUAGAGCAGAUUUCAUUUAUUCGGAACGUCCUAUUGGAUAACUGCGGCAAUUCUGGAGCUAAUACAUGCAAAGAAACCCUGACUUUUGAAAGGGUGCAAUUAUUAGAGCAAACCAAUCACCUUCGGGUGCUGUUUGCUGACUCUGAAUAACGCAGCAUAUCGGCGGCUUGUCCGCUGAUAUUCCGAAAAAGUGUCUGCCCUAUCAACCUGAUGGUAGUCUAUUAGUCUACCAUGGUUAUUACGGGUAACGGAGAAUAAGGGUUCGACUCCGGAGAGGGAGCCUUAGAAACGGCUACCACAUCCAAGGAAGGCAGCAGGCGCGAAACUUAUCCAAUCUUGAAGAGAUGAGAUAGUGACUAAAAAUAAGAAGACCAUUCCUAUGGAACGGUCAUUCCAAUGAGUUGAUCAUAAACCUUUUUUCGAGGAUCAAGUGGAGGGCAAGUCUGGUGCCAGCAGCCGCGGUAAUUCCAGCUCCACUAGUGUAAAUCGUCAUUGCUGCGGUUAAAAAGCUCGUAGUUGGAUCUGAGUCACAUGCAGUGGUUCGCCUUUGGUGUUAAUCGCUGUUGUGACUAUUUGCUGGUUUUCCACUGAGGUUUCGGCUUCUUUGGUGGCUAGCGAGUUUACUUUGAAUAAAUUAGAGUGCUCAGAACAAGCGUUUGCUUGAAUGGUCGAUCAUGGAAUAAUAAAAGAGGACUUCGGUUCUAUUUAUUGGUUCAGGAACUGAAAUAAUGGUUAAGAGGGACAAUUCGGGGGCAUUCGUAUCCCUGCGCGAGAGGUGAAAUUCGUGGACCGCAGGGGGACGCCCUAAAGCGAAAGCAUUUGCCAAGAAUGUCUUCAUUAAUCAAGAACGAAAGUCAGAGGUUCGAAGGCGAUUAGAUACCGCCCUAGUUCUGACCGUAAACUAUGCCAUCUAGCGAUCCGAUGGGGUAUUGUUGCCUUGUCGAGGAGCUUCCCGGAAACGAAAGUCUUUCGGUUCCUGGGGUAGUAUGGUUGCAAAGCUGAAACUUAAAGAAAUUGACGGAAUGGCACCACCAGGAGUGGAGCCUGCGGCUUAAUUUGACUCAACACGGGAAAACUCACCCGGCCCGGACACCGCAAGGAUUGACAGAUUGAAAGCUCUUUCUCGAUUUGGUGGUUGGUGGUGCAUGGCCGUUCUUAGUUGGUGGAGCGAUUUGUCUGGUUUAUUCCGAUAACGAGCGAGACUCUAGCCUGCUAAAUAGUGGCUGGAUUUUCAAGUCCAGUCUACUUCUUAGAGGGAUAAGCGGUGUUUAGCCGCACGAGAUUGAGCGAUAACAGGUCUGUGAUGCCCUUAGAUGUCCGGGGCUGCACGCGCGCUACAAUGGAAGAAUCAGCUGGCCUAUCCAUUGCCGAAAGGCAUUGGUAAACCGUUGAAACUCUUCCGUGACCGGGAUAGGGAAUUGUAAUUAUUUCCCUUGAACGAGGAAUUCCUAGUAAGUGUGAGUCAUCAGCUCACGCUGAUUACGUCCCUGCCAUUUGUACACACCGCCCGUCGCUGUCCGGGACUGAGCUGUCUCGAGAGGACUGCGGACUGCUGUAUCGAGGCCUUCGGGUCGCGGUAUGGCGGGAAACAGUUCAAUCGCAAUGGCUUGAACCGGGUAAAAGUCGUAACAAGGUAUCUGUAGGUGAACCUGCAGAUGGAUCAUCGUCGAAACCACAACAAUGGUUCCUUUGAUCACUACGAGAAACCAACGCGCUAGUGUUUCGCGACUUUGUCGUCGAACGUUGGGAGUAUCACCCCCGUUAGAGCUCUUCCGUAAGGUGUCUAUGCAUGACAUGAGUCGUUCUUGAGUGGCGGCUGUGAUUGUCUAUGCGCAGAGUUCCCACUUCCAUGUGGUCGAGCUGUAGACUUUAUGAGCAUUGCUGGAAUGCCGCCUUACAUGUUUGUUAUUGGUGGUUAUGCACUGGUUUCAGUGUGACACCUGGUUGUCAGGAAACCUUAAUGAUCCGGCUACAUCGGACGCCAACAACAAACACACCAACGUUUUAUUUUUGAUGUUUGCAGAAUCGUGACCAUGCAAUGGUCACAAUCAUAGACUAGCUUCAGCGAUGGAUCGGUCGAUUCGCGUAUCGAUGAAAAACGCAGCUAGCUGCGUUAUUUACCACGAAUUGCAGACGCUUAGAGUGGUGAAAUUUUGAACGCAUAGCGCCGUUGGGUUUUCCCUUCGGCACGUCUGGUUCAGGGUUGUUAACAAUACUACAGUGUGGCCUGUUGUACACUGUUUGUCGAAUGGCACUCGUUAACCCGUCGUAGUGGCGAUUCCCAUUUCAGUUAAGAAUCAGCAUAGCAACAUAGCUUCUUCGUGAAGCUCCUGUAUGAUGUGAACUUGAUUGUCACCGUUUCGAACUAUACUCGGCGAAUAGUGAGGAAGUUCAAAUGGGGACCUGUAGGGCAGUCAUCGGUUCUUGCAUCAUUUGCAUUGCAACCUGAGCUCAGGCGUGACUACCCGCUGAACUUAAGCAUAUCAUUUAGCGGAGGAAAAGAAACUAACAAGGAUUCCCUCAGUAACGGCGAGUGAACGGGGAGAAGCCCAGCGCUAAAUCUUUCGGUGUUACACCGCUAAGAAAUGUAGCGUAUAGGUGUGGUUUUCAGUUUGUGCUGCAUGUCCAAAGUCCCUUUGAUAGGGGCCACAUUCCCGAGAGGGUGCGAGACCUGUGCGGACAGUGGAGCAAGCUGUACGAUCAUACCUUGGAGUCGGGUUGCUUGAAAGUGCAGCCUAAAGUGGGUGAUAAACUUCAUCUAAGGCUAAAUAUAGACGCGAAUUCGAUAGCAAACAAGUACUGUGAAGGAAAGUUGCAAAGAACUUUGAAGAGAGAGUUCAAGAGAACGUGAAAUCGCUGGAGUGGAACCGGAGAGAGUUGACGUAGUCGGGUAACUAAGUUUGCCAAAAUCGCUUAAUUGUGAUCGAGGGAGAUGUAUGUUGCCUAUGACUGCGCUGACAGCGUUGGCUGUGCGUUCCGAACCGUUCACGUUGCCCACCGUUCGCGGUGGUGUCUUGUCUACGGAUAGGUCUGUCGCGGCUAGCGUUUUAUCCUACGCAAGUAGGGUGUCAGUGUGAAAGUCGACCACCUCUCCGACCCGUCUUGAAACACGGACCGAGGAGUGUAACUUGUACGCGAGUCAAAGGGUGGAAAACCCCAAGGCGUAAUGAAAGUAAAGGUCGGUUAACCGGCUGACAUGGGAUCCGCGUUUCGAUGCGGCGCACCAUGGCCCUGUCUUGUCUGCUUGCAGAUGGGCAGCGGUAGAGCGUACAGGUUGCGACCCGAAAGAUGGUGAACUAUGCCUGAGCAGGACGAAGUCAGAGGAAACUCUGGUGGAAGUCCGUAUCGGUUCUGACGUGCAAAUCGAUCGAUAGACUUGGGUAUAGGGGCGAAAGACUAAUCGAACCAUC
rnacentral:rRNA from 1 species